rnacentral:lncRNA from 1 species
CUUCCUUUAAAUAAAUAAUCUGUGAGUUACGCUAUUCUUUUCCUAUUGCUUCAGGAGAAGCUAUUAGGUAGAAAGCUUUUAAGAAAGGCUUUGCAAGAAAACUCUUCAACAGAGACGGCACGUAUGAAUUGCUGUGAUCUGGGGUUGAAGACAAGAACAAAAGUAACUCAGGCGCAUAAUUCUUGGACCGAAGUCAUCUUACUGGUCACUGGUCGGCGGAGGCGCUCAUCUUACUUGCAUCAGGUGCUUGAGAGUUCAGGAUAGGCAAAGGUGAGAGGUAGCAUCUAGUCAACAUCCAUUUCUUGAGCACUUACUACAUGUCACUCACUUUGCUUAGUCCCCGUUUUUACUCUACUCUGCUUGGAAGUGGUGAAGAGAUUCGGCGGGAUCUUCUUAGGACCUAUCCUACAAAGUUCCGGAUGGAACUCAUUUUGAUUCGGGGGACGGUUUAUUUGCAGGGAUGAGGUGGAGAAACAGGGCCUGCUACUCAAGAGGAAUAAGAAAGUGUAACUAACAGGAGGUAGACUGGGAAGGAGCAAGGCAAAGUCACCCCUUUUCACAGGGCAACUCUCCUAAGACCAUGCUCAAGCUGGGGUGGCAGGGCUCUAAACGUGGGGCACCGACCCGGGUCUCAGCCUGGGGCCACGUGACGCGCGUGUUUACGUUGAGUGACGGGCGCUGGGUUGGGCGGGCCUUGCCGGAAAUCAACUUCCGGGGGCAGAGGUGUUCGAAGCCGGGUGGUGCGUGGGCUACUUCAACCUGUGUGACUGGGCUGCGGUCUCACCUCAAGGGCCUGGGGCCGUGCCUCGGGUGUACGCGUAGGGUCUGUGUGCUGGGGGUGGCUCACAGGGCAGCGUGGGUGAGCGGCGCAGCGGCGGCAGCGGAGAGCGAGAGAGGGGAGCAGCAUUUAGCUGAAUGCUUAUCAAGCUGUGGUAUCUGGCAGUCAUACUUGAGAAUACUGUUUUCCAGUGCUGCAGAAGAGAGUCACAUGAUUGUUGCCCUCAAAUAAUUGGUAAGAACAUGGGGUUAAAAUGUAGUUGUUUUGUAUCUUUGGGUUCUUACAAUAUGAAUAUAUGUAAGUUUUUGUGUUUUAUUUAAUUUCUAUCACUUUUCUGCAUGAGGAAGACAUAAAUGGUUUGCAGAUGUUAUAAAUCAUUACUAGAGAUGCCUUUUCAUGCUCAUAUUAGCCAGUCCCUGAUAUGCAUUUAUUUUUAUUAUUAACUUUCUGAUUAAAAAUAAAAUUAUGCAUACUGGCA